UACGUAGGCAGCAAGCGUUGUUCGGAGUUACUGGGCGUAAAGGGUGUGUAGGCGGUUAUUUAAGUUUGGUGUGAAAUCUCCCGGCUCAACCGGGAGGGUGCGCCGAAUACUGAAUGACUUGGAGUGCGGGAGAGGAAAGUGGAAUUCCUGGUGUAGCGGUGAAAUGCGCAGAUAUCAGGAGGAACACCGGUGGCGAAGGCGGGUCUCUGGGCCGUAACUGACGCUGAGGAGCGAAAGCGUGGGGAGCAAACAGG
rnacentral:rRNA from 1 species